AACCUCUAGUUUUUUCGAAGUGUGAUAUUGGUCACUACGCCUCUGAUCGGAUACUGGGGUCACAAACAUCACGGUAUGUCGGAUGUCAUCAUUAUUGUUGAUCCUCUCCACUUUCUUUGAUUAAAUUGGCGUCGGUGAUCCGAACUUAGGGGCUGUUUAAUAGGGGGGCUAGAACAUGUCUAAGCAUUACAUAAUGGUUUUAUUAAUUUCUUAUUUUUUAACCAUUUUUGGUUUAGUUUUGGCCUUAAUAGGAAUCAUUAUGCUUCGUAAUCUUACAUAUUCGGAUGAACAAAUGGGUCAGAAAUCGGGUUUUAUGUGUUUUGUGAUGCGAUGUCUACCUAAUUUUUAAAGAAAUUUGUCGAAAACCCAACUAAUCAAACUGUUUCACGCGAACGUUCUGCAUCUCUUCUACAUUUCUUUUCAACCUGGAAAAUGUAUCCGUAUAUUAAUACGAAAUUUUAAGUCUGAAGAUCAGAAUGUAUAUUUUAGUCAAAUCUCAACUUUUUCUUAAAAUAAAGUGAAGCGGGUCUUUUAUUUUUUUCGAGGGAAAUCUAUGAAUAUCUGCUGCUUUCGAGUACUGAAGAACUUUAGUAAUUAUUAUUGUUUUCCAAUGCAAAUUUAUGAUACUAUAUAAGAUGUCGGCCUUAGAGCGGGGAAACGAUUAAGCAGCAAUGCCUCUUAAAAGGAGUUCAUUUCAUGCACGCAUUCAUUACCUGAUACAUUAUUUAAUUCAAAAAAUGGCAUUAAUAAAGGAGAGCACCAUUUUUUAUUCCUGACUUGUGUGCUACCGCCUCAGAGCUUAAUAAUAAAACUAUGAGAAUUAUAAUUAUAGUUGGUUCCAACAUCCAUCAAUUGUGUAUCGUCUCAAAUUUGUAGUCGACGAUCACGAGAGGUGCUCUGGUGAGAGAGCGGUACUAAUAUUCUACAGGUAGAUCAUUGCUUAAAUAAGCAAAUGAAUAAACAUGCUUGGAUUAGCAUGUCAACCAACUGACAAUUUAAUUGCCAACUUGCUAGUCUCCAGUGAGCUCUGAGCUGCAGUCAUACACACAUAACGUCAAACGUCCUGCACACGUCGUAUCAGAUUAAUGUAUUUUUGAGAACGUACCAUGCGUUUUAGAACUGAUUUCUUUGACCUAGACAGUACAGAAGCUUUUAUUCCAGAAAUAUGGACUUCACUCGAUCUAGCUGUAUCCAUACGCACAGUUGGUUCGCUUACCCCUGUGUCAACAGGAACUGCUGCUACCAAGGUCGGAUUUGGGUUGGAUUCCAUAGUCGUGAUAACGGCGGUUAAGCUGGCUUUCUUGCGUUUAGGCGACUCAGUUAAUAAUCUUUGACUCUGCUGGUAAAUCCUGCACAUUUGACGUGCAUCAUCGAACCGCAAAGCCAGCUAAAAAUAAAGGGUUCUUUCGUUGAAAACGGAAGUGUACAGCUUUUCUUGGAACAGACAUAGGUCAUUAUAAGAAAACAAAAAUAAAAAUUAAAUGAAAUAAAAGUAUCAAUAAUACCGCAAAGUAAAUUUGGGAAUAGGAUGAAAUUCAAAAAACACAAAGGCACAAAACACAAAAAAAAAAAAAAAAAAAAAUAAUUGAACACGAGAGAAAAAAUAUUGUAUCGACUGAGCGUGGCUUGUGCGACACUACCAACAUUAAGCACGAAAAAAUACAAUGAAAAUCAAGCAAGAGAGAGAAAGAAAGAGAGAGAGUUACAGAAGUGGCACCCAGAAAAGAGGGUAAAUUACAGUAUAAAAUAGAGCGUUAGAAAUUGAGAAGGAGUGAAAGAGUUCUAGCAUGUUUAGAGAGCGUAAGUUACACUAACAAAGCUAAGAGAUUAAAUAAAUCUAAUAGAAAUGUUAAAAUAACUAUAAAAACAUACCCGUUUACUGGGAAAUCUAUUUACAAUUUCUAACACACAAGGCUAAGCUUUGUAAAUAAAUACACACAAAACACUCGCACACAAAAAACUCGGAGCACAAAAGUAAACACAGCUGUUCACAAACGACGCUAAAUCGAAAUAUGUCACUUAAACACAAAAAAAUAUCUAUAGGAACAAUAUCUUCCUAAAGUCCCAGUAUACAAAAAUGUUCUGAUUUAAAAACAUAAAAAAAAUUUAAUAAUAACAAUAAAACAAAUAGUCAAAAAAGUACAGCAAAAAUUAAAUACAAUCAGAAAAUAAAUUAAGUUAAAUCCAGCGUCAGAGUGGACUCCAACAUGGAACUCAAAUCCAUUAUCGCUGGACCAUCAACAUACUCUUUUAAUUCGAUUUCUUUUCGUCAACAUAAUUCAAGAAUCGACAAUUGAGACAAAAAUUGAAUAUUGACUGUUUUACAGCGCGGAGUGUUUGUUGGCUUGUUGGCAACUGGGCUUCCGACCCUAGUUCUACACAAUUCCUGCUUGACUAUUAGGGCAACCGUUCGCCGUGGCUAAAUGUAUAUAUUAUAGCCUCGGUAUUCUUUUUUUCAUAUUAUCUUCUCCUCUUAGAAUUAUUAUUUUUCGAAUAUUUAAAAUAUUUGUAUUAAAAUGUAAAAAAUAGGAUGGCUAUAUCGUACAGCUGAUAUAGGAGCGAUAAGAUAAUUAUUGAUUAACUAAUAGGGAAAUAAUUAAUCUUGGAUAUUUUAGAUAAUUUCACUUUAUUCCCGGCAAGGUUAGUAAGAAAAGUUUGGUUGGGCAUUUCAUCUAUUAAUAAAGAGAUAUAGAUGGUUUCAACGAAAGCGUGUUGUUUUGGAUAUACCUUUUUCCAAAUGCAAGACUUCGAGAAAAGUUUUAAUUCUUACCCCAGUAUUGGCAUAACAAUUUAUUGACCUACGAAAUACAAAUGUUUUAAGACUUUCCCGGCCCCGUUAUAAGCAGCUUGACCUACUAUUACCACAUUUUUGGUCAUUGAGUUCUCGUUAACUGGUCCAAUCACAAUCUCUGGCACCAUGAAAAUUAUAUGAAUACGCAAGAGAGGCCUCCGAUGUUUAGGCAUAAUUUUUGCCGGCAUAAGCUACGUCGUUUUAGGGUCGUGGGAUCUUAUAAAGCUUUUCCAACAUACCGAGAAUAAAUAUAUAAAGAGCCUGGAAAAUAAUAUUAGUGCGUGAAAUUCAUUAGUCGUCAGUCCAGACUGCUUCACAAGCUUAGCUGUCUCUUGCACGCAAUACGAUCGGACUGUGUCUGUGUCUGUUUCCAUCCCUUCACACAUUCGUGUGCCAAUGGUUCGUCACGUGCCACGCAAUACGAUCCUCGAUUUAAAGGUUGUCCGUCAAGAGUUAAGUCAUUGUUCUUGACGUUCUCUACUUCUCGCGUCAGCAAAUUCUCUUCCACAUUAUAGGCUUAUAAAGUAGUAUAAUGGCAUGCGCCGAUUAAAGUGCAGACAUCAGCAAAACGCUGACUAUUCACGACUACAAAUGUCGCUCAGAGGUCUCCUGUAAUUGCACGGGCAACAACAAAACUGAUACUUGCCGCUGAAAAGUGUAUAGCAUUCUUUAAAACUGUAAUAGACUGCAAAAAAAUUUAUAUAUGAAUGUUUUAAAUAAGGAACCAUGUUCCGACAAACUUACUUCCUUUUUAUGUCUUCGACGAUAAGAUCUCGACGUUCUGAAUCCUGAGCUUUGAAAAAUAUUGUAUUGGAUUUACUUGUAUAAAAUAUUGAUGUUCUUAAGUAUUCCAAUUCGCUUGAACAAAAAAUAUAUAAUAUAUGUAAUAUAAUAUAUAUCAUGAUGCCUAUUUUGUCUAGCGAUUCGCUUGAUUUAAAUGUAUGUUUCAAUGUUUUUGUUUUUAACUUAAAAUAUAUUAUAUACGGCAAUUGGCUUUGGGUUAUGCAAAAAGUUACUUUAGCUUACAUUUUUUCACACAUUAAUAUUAAACCUCUAGUUUUUUCGAAGUAUGCUAUUGGUCACUACGCCUCUGAUCGGAUACUGGGGUCACAAACAUCACGGUAUGUCGGAUGUCAUCAUUAUUGUUGAUCCUCUCCACUUUCUUUGAUUAAAUUGGCGUCGGUGAUCCGAACUUAGGGGCUGUUUAAUAGGGGGGCUAGAACAUGUCUAAGCAUUACAUAAUGGUUUUAUUAAUUUCUUAUUUUUUAACCAUUUUUGGUUUAGUUUUGGCCUUAAUAGGAAUCAUUAUGCUUCGUAAUCUUACAUAUUCGGAUGAACAAAUGGGUCAGAAAUCGGGUUUUAUGUGUUUUGUGAUGCGAUGUCUACCUAAUUUUUAAAGAAAUUUGUCGAAAACCCAACUAAUCAAACUGUUUCACGCGAACGUUCUGCAUCUCUUCUACAUUUCUUUUCAACCUGGAAAAUGUAUCCGUAUAUUAAUACGAAAUUUUAAGUCUGAAGAUCAGAAUGUAUAUUUUAGUCAAAUCUCAUAUCUCUUUCUUAAAAUAAAGUGAAGCGUUACUAUUAUUUUUUUCGAGGGAAAUCUAUGAAUAUCUGCUGCUUUCGAGUACUGAAGAACUUUAGUAAUAAUUAUUGUUUUCCAAUGCAAAUGUAUGAUACUAUAUAAGAUGUCGGCCUUAGAGCGGGGAAACGAUUAAGCAGCAAUGCCUCUUAAAAGGAGUUCAUUUCAUGCACGCAUUCAUUACCUGAUACAUUAUUUAAUUCAAAAAAUGGCAUUAAUAAAGGAGAGCACCAUUUUUUAUUCCUGACUUGUGUGCUACCGCCUCAGAGCUUAAUAAUAAAACUAUGAGAAUUAUAAUUAUAGUUGGUUCCAACAUCCAUCAAUUGUGUAUCGUCUCAAAUUUGUAGUCGACGAUCACGAGAGGUGCUCUGGUGAGAGAGCGGUACUAAUAUUCUACAGGUAGAUCAUUGCUUAAAUAAGCAAAUGAAUAAACAUGCUUGGAUUAGCAUGUCAACCAACUGACAAUUUAAUUGCCAACUUGCGAGUCUCCAGUGAGCUCUGAGCUGCAGUCAUACACACAUAACGUCAAACGUCCUGCACACGUCGUAUCAGAUUAAUGUAUUUUUGAGAACGUACCAUGCGUUUUAGAACCGAUUUCUUUGACCUAGAGUACAGAAGCUUUUAUUCCAGAAACAUGGACUUCACUCGAUCUAGCUGUAUCCAUACGCACAGUUGGUUCGCUUACCCCUGUGUCAACAGGAACUGCUGCUACCAAGGUCGGAUUUGGGUUGGAUUCCAUAGUCGUGAUAACGGCGGUUAAGCUGGCUUUCUUGCGUUUAGGCGACUCAGUUAAUAAUCUUUGACUCUGCUGGUAAAUCCUGCACAUUUGACGUGCAUCAUCGAACCGCAGAGCCAGCUAAAAAUAAAGGGGUCUUUCGUUGAAAACGCAAGUGUACAGUUUUUUGUCUUGGAACAGACAUAGGUCAUUAUAAGAAAACAAAAAUAAAAAUUAAAUGAAAUAAAAGUAUCAAUAAUACCGCAAAGUAAAUUUGGGAAUAGGAUGAAAUUCAAAAAACACAAAAGCACAAAACACAAAAAAAAAAAAAAAAAAAAUUAAUUGAACACGAGAGAAAAAAUAUUCUAUCGACUGAGCGUGGCUUGUGCGACACUACCAACAUUAAGCACGAAAAAAUACAAUGAAAAUCAAGCAAGAGAAAGAAAGAAAGAGAGAGAGUUACAGAAGUGGCACCCAGAAAAGAGGGUAAAUUACAGUAUAAAAUAGAGCGUUAGAAAUUGAGAAGGAGUGAAAGAGUUCUAGCAUGUUUAGAGAGCGUAAGUUACACUAACAAAGCUAAGAGAUUAAAUAAAUCUAAUAGAAAUGUUAAAAUAACUAUAAAGACAUACCCGUUUACUGGGAGAUCUAUUUACAAUUUCUAACACACAAGGCUAAGCUUUGUAAAUAAAUACACACAAAACACUCGCACACAAAAAACUCGGAGCACAAAAGUAAACACAGCUGUUCACAAACGACGCUAAAUCGAAAUAUGUCACUUAAACACAAAAAAAUAUCUAUAGGAACAAUAUCUUCCUAAAGUCCCAGUAUACAAAAAUGUUCUGAUUUAAAAACAUAAAAAAAAUUUAAUAAUAACAAUAAAACAAAUAGUCAAAAAAGUACAGCAAAAAUUAAAUACAAUCAAAAAAUAAAUUAAGUUAAAUCCAGCGUCAGAGUGGACUCCAACAUGGAACUCAAAUCCAUUAUCGCUGGACCAUCAACAUACUCUUUUAAUUCGAUUUCUUUUCGUCAACAUAAUUCAAGAAUCGACAAUUGAGACAAAAAUUGAAUAUUGACUGUUUUACAGCGCGGAGUGUUUGUUGGCUUGUUGGCAACUGGGCUUCCGACCCUAGUUCUACACAAUUCCUGCUUGACUAUUAGGGCAACCGUUCGCCGUGGCUAAAUGUAUAUAUUAUAGCCUCGGUAUUCUUUUUUUCAUAUUAUCUUCUCCUCUUAGAAUUAUUAUUUUUCGAAUAUUUAAAAUAUUUGUAUUAAAAUGUAAAAAAUAGGAUGGCUAUAUCGUACAGCUGAUAUAGGAGCGAUAAGAUAAUUAUUGAUUAACUAAUAGGGAAAUAAUUAAUCUUGGAUAUUUUAGAUAAUUUCACUUUAUUCCCGGCAAGGUUAGUAAGAAAAGUUUGGUUGGGCAUUUCAUCUAUUAAUAAAGAGAUAUAGAUGGUUUCAACGAAAGCGUGUUGUUUUGGAUAUACCUUUUUCCAAAUGCAAGACUUCGAGAAAAGUUUUAAUUCUUACCCCAGUAUUGGCAUAACAAUUUAUUGACCUACGAAAUACAAAUGUUUUAAGACUUUCCCGGCCCCGUUAUAAGCAGCUUGACCUACUAUUACCACAUUUUUGGUCAUUGAGUUCUCGUUAACUGGUCCAAUCACAAUCUCUGGCACCAUGAAAAUUAUAUGAAUACGCAAGAGAGGCCUCCGAUGUUUAGGCAUAAUUUUUGCCGGCAUAAGCUACGUCGUUUUAGGUUCGUGGGAUCUUAUAAAGCUUUUCCAACAUACUGAGAAUAAAUAUAUAAAGAGCCUGGAAAAUAAUAUUAGUGCGUGAAAUUCAUUAGUCGUCAGUCCAGACUGCUUCACAAGCUUAGCUGUCUCUUGCACGCAAUACGAUCGGACUGUGUCUGUGUCUGUUUCCAUCCCUUCACACAUUCGUGUGCCAAUGGUUCGUCACGUGCCACGCAAUACGAUCCUCGAUUUAAAGGUUGUCCGUCAAGAGUUAAGUCAUUGUUCUUGACGUUCUCUACUUCUCGCGUCAGCAAAUUCUCUUCCACAUUAUAGGCUUAUAAAGUAGUAUAAUGGCAUGCGCCGAUUAAAGUGCACACAUCAGCAAAACGCUGACUAUUCACGACUACAAAUGUCGCUCAGAGGUCUCCUGUAAUUGCACGGGCAACAACAAAACUGAUACUUGCCGCUGAAAAGUGUAUAGCAUUCUUUAAAACUGUAAUAGACUGCAAAAAAAUUUAUAUAUGAAUGUUUUAAAUAAGGAACCAUGUUUCGACAAACUUACUUCCUUUUUAUGUCUUCGACGAUAAGAUCUCGACGUUCUGGAUCCUGAGCUUUGAAAAAUAUUGUAUUGGAUUUACUUGUAUAAAAUAAUGAUGUUCUUAAGUAUUCCAAUUCGCUUGAACAAAAAAUAUAUAAUAUAUGUAAUAUAAUAUAUAUCAUGAUGCGUAAUUUGUCUAGCGAUUCGCUUGAUUUAAAUGUAUGUUUCAAUGUUUUUGUUUUUAACUUAAAAUAUAUUAUAUAAGGCAAUUGGCUUUGGGUUAUGCAAAAAGUUACUUUAGCUUAAAUUUUUUCACACAUUAAUAUUAAACCUCUCGGAUGUCAUCAUUAUUGUUGAUCCUCUCCACUUUCUUUGAUUAAAUUGGCGUCGGUGAUCCGAACUUAGGGGCUGUUUAAUAGGGGGGCUAAAACAUGUCUAAGCAUUACAUAAUGGUUUUAUUAAUUUCUUAUUUUUUAACCAUUUUUGGUUUAGUUUUGGCCUUAAUAGGAAUCAUUAUGCUUCGUAAUCUUACAUAUUCGGAUGAACAAAUGGGUCAGAAAUCGGGUUUUAUGUGUUUUGUGAUGCGAUGUCUACCUAAUUUUUAAAGAAAUUUGUCGAAAACCCAACUAAUCAAACUGUUUCACGCGAACGUUCUGCAUCUCUUCUACAUUUCUUUUCAACCUGGAAAAUGUAUCCGUAUAUUAAUACGAAAUUUUAAGUCUGAAGAUCAGAAUGUAUAUUUUAGUCAAAUCUCAUCUUUUUCUUAAAAUAAAGUGAAGCGUUACUAUUAUUUUUUUCGAGGGAAAUCUAUGAAUAUCUGCUGCUUUCAAGUACUGAAGAACUUUAGUAAUUAUUAUUGUUUUCCAAUGCAAAUGUAUGAUACUAUAUAAGAUGUCGGCCUUAGAGCGGGGAAACGAUUAAGCAGCAAUGCCUCUUAAAAGGAGUUCAUUUCAUGCACGCAUUCAUUACCUGAUACAUUAUUUAAUUCAAAAAAUGGCAUUAAUAAAGGAGAGCACCAUUUUUUAUUCCUGACUUGUGUGCUACCGCCUCAGAGCUUAAUAAUAAAACUAUGAGAAUUAUAAUUAUAGUUGGUUCCAACAUCCAUCAAUUAUGUAUCGUCUCAAAUUUGUAGUCGACGAUCACGAGAGGUGCUCUGGUGAGAGAGCGGUACUAAUAUUCUACAGGUAGAUCAUUGCUUAAAUAAGCAAAUGAAUAAACAUGCUUGGAUUAGCAUGUCAACCAACUGACAAUUUAAUUGCCAACUUGCGAGUCUCCAGUGAGCUCUGAGCUGCAGUCAUACACACAUAACGUCAAACGUCCUGCACACGUCGUAUCAGAUUAAUGUAUUUUUGAGAACGUACCAUGCGUUUUAGAACCGAUUUCUUUGACCUAGAGUACAGAAGCUUUUAUUCCAGAAACAUGGACUUCACUCGAUCUAGCUGUAUCCAUACGCACAGUUGGUUCGCUUACCCCUGUGUCAACAGGAACUGCUGCUACCAAGGUCGGAUUUGGGUUGGAUUCCAUAGUCGUGAUAACGGCGGUUAAGCUGGCUUUCUUGCGUUUAGGCGACUCAUUUAAUAAUCUUUGACUCUGCUGGUAAAUCCUGCACAUUUGACGUGCAUCAUCGAACCGCAGAGCCAGCAAAAAAUAAAGGGGUCUUUCGUUGAAAACGCAAGUGUACAGUUUUUCUUGGAACAGACAUAGGUCAUUAUACGAAAACAAAAAUAAAAAUUAAAUGAAAUAAAAGUAUCAAUAAUACCGCAAAGUAAAUUUGGGAAUAGGAUGAAAUUCAAAAAACACAAAGGCACAAAACACAAAAAAAAAAAAAAAAAUAAUUGAACACGAGAGAAAAAAUAUUCUAUCGACUGAGCGUGGCUUGUGCGACACUACCAACAUUAAGCACGAAAAAAUACAAUGAAAAUCAAGCAAGAGAGAGAAAGAAAGAGAGAGAGUUACAGAAGUGGCACCCAGAAAAGAGGGUAAAUUACAGUAUAAAAUAGAGCGUUAGAAAUUGAGAAGGAGUGAAAGAAUUCUAGCAUGUUUACAGAGCGUAAGUUACACUAACAAAGCUAAGAGAUUAAAUAAAUCUAAUAGAAAUGUUAAAAUAACUAUAAAGACAUACCCGUUUACUGGGAGAUCUAUUUACAAUUUCUAACACACAAGGCUAAGCUUUGUAAAUAAAUACACACAAAACACUCGCACACAAAAAACUCGGAGCACAAAAGUAAACACAGCUGUUCACAAACGACGCUAAAUCGAAAUAUGUCACUUAAACACAAAAAAAUAUCUAUAGGAACAAUAUCUUCCUAAAGUCCCAGUAUACAAAAAUGUUCUGAUUUAAAAACAUAAAAAAAUUUAAUAAUAACAAUAAAACAAAUAGUCAAAAAAGUACAGCAAAAAUUAAAUACAACCAGAAAAUAAAUUAAGUUAAAUCCAGCGUCAGAGUGGACUCCAACAUGGAACUCAAAUCCAUUAUCGCUGGACCAUCAACAUACUCUUUUAAUUCGAUUUCUUUUCGUCAACAUAAUUCAAGAAUCGACAAUUGAGACAAAAAUUGAAUAUUGACUGUUUUACAGCGCGGAGUGUUUGUUGGCUUGUUGGCAACUGGGCUUCCGACCCUACUUCUACACAAUUCCUGCUUGACUAUUAGGGCAACCGUUCGCCGUGGCUAAAUGUAUAUAUUAUAGCCUCGGUAUUCUUUUUUUCAUAUUAUCUUCUCCUCUUAGAAUUAUUAUUUUUCGAAUAUUUAAAAUAUUUGUAUUAAAAUGUAAAAAAUAGGAUGGCUAUAUCGUACAGCUGAUAUAGGAGCGAUAAGAUAAUUAUUGAUUAACUAAUAGGGAAAUAAUUAAUCUUGGAUAUUUUAGAUAAUUUCACUUUAUUCCCGGCAAGGUUAGUAAGAAAAGUUUGGUUGGGCAUUUCAUCUAUUAAUAAAGAGAUAUAGAUGGUUUCAACGAAAGCGUGUUGUUUUGGAUAUACCUUUUUCCAAAUGCAAGACUUCGAGAAAAGUUUUAAUUCUUACCCCAGUAUUGGCAUAACAAUUUAUUGACCUACGAAAUACAAAUGUUUUAAGACUUUCCCGGCCCCGUUAUAAGCAGCUUGACCUACUAUUACCACAUUUUUGGUCAUUGAGUUCUCGUUAACUGGUCCAAUCACAAUCUCUGGCACCAUGAAAAUUAUAUGAAUACGCAAGAGAGGCCUCCGAUGUUUAGGCAUAAUUUUUGCCGGCAUAAGCUACGUCGUUUUAGGUUCGUGGGAUCUUAUAAAGCUUUUCCAACAUACUGAGAAUAAAUAUAUAAAGAGCCUGGAAAAUAAUAUUAGUGCGUGAAAUUCAUUAGUCGUCAGUCCAGACUGCUUCACAAGCUUAGCUGUCUCUUGCACGCAAUACGAUCGGACUGUGUCUGUGUCUGUUUCCAUCCCUUCACACAUUCGUGUGCCAAUGGUUCGUCACGUGCCACGCAAUACGAUCCUCGAUUUAAAGGUUGUCCGUCAAGAGUUAAGUCAUUGUUCUUGACGUUCUCUACUUCUCGCGUCAGCAAAUUCUCUUCCACAUUAUAGGCUUAUAAAGUAGUAUAAUGGCAUGCGCCGAUUAAAGUGCACACAUCAGCAAAACGCUGACUAUUCACGACUACAAAUGUCGCUCAGAGGUCUCCUGUAAUUGCACGGGCAACAACAAAACUGAUACUUGCCGCUGAAAAGUGUAUAGCAUUCUUUAAAACUGUAAUAGACUGCAAAAAAAUUUAUAUAUGAUUGUUUUAAAUAAGGAACCAUGUUUCGACAAACUUACUUCCUUUUUAUGUCUUCGACGAUAAGAUCUCGACGUUCUGGAUCCUGAGCUUUGAAAAAUAUUGUAUUGGAUUUACUUGUAUAAAAUAAUGAUGUUCUUAAGUAUUCCAAUUCGCUUGAACAAAAAAUAUAUAAUAUAUGUAAUAUAAUAUAUAUCAUGAUGCGUAAUUUGUCUAGCGAUUCGCUUGAUUUAAAUGUAUGUUUCAAUGUUUUUGUUUUUAACUUAAAAUAUAUAUAAGGCAAUUGGCUUUGGGUUAUGCAAAAAGUUACUUUAGCUUAAAUUUUUUCACACAUUAAUAUUAAACCUCUAGUUUUUUCGAAGUAUGAUAUUGGUCACUACGCCUCUGAUCGGAUACUGGGGUCACAAACAUCACGGUAUGUCGGAUGUCAUCAUUAUUGUUGAUCCUCUCCACUUUCUUUGAUUAAAUUGGCGUCGGUGAUCCGAACAUAGGGGCUGUUUAAUAGGGGGGCUAGAACAUGUCUAAGCAUUACAUAAUGGUUUUAUUAAUUUCUUAUUUUUUAACCAUUUUUGGUUUAGUUUUGGCCUUAAUAGGAAUCAUUAUGCUUCGUAAUCUUACAUAUUCGGAUGAACAAAUGGGUCAGAAAUCGGGUUUUAUGUGUUUUGUGAUGCGAUGUCUACCUAAUUUUUAAAGAAAUUUGUCGAAAACCCAACUAAUCAAACUGUUUCACGCGAACGUUCUGCAUCUCUUCUACAUUUCUUUUCAACCUGGAAAAUGUAUCCGUAUAUUAAUACGAAAUUUUAAGUCUGAAGAUCAGAAUGUAUAUUUUAGUCAAAUCUCAUCUUUUUCUUAAAAUAAAGUGAAGCGUUACUAUUAUUUUUUUCGAGGGAAAUCUAUGAAUAUCUGCUGCUUUCGAGUACUGAAGAACUUUAGUAAUUAUUAUUGUUUUCCAAUGCAAAUUUAUGAUACUAUAUAAGAUGUCGGCCUUAGAGCGGGGAAACGAUUAAGCAGCAAUGCCUCUUAAAAGGAGUUCAUUUCAUGCACGCAUUCAUUACCUGAUACAUUAUUUAAUUCAAAAAAUGGCAUUAAUAAAGGAGAGCACCAUUUUUUAUUCCUGACUUGUGUGCUACCGCCUCAGAGCUUAAUAAUAAAACUAUGAGAAUUAUAAUUAUAGUUGGUUCCAAUAUCCAUCAAUUGUGUAUCGUCUCAAAUUUGUAGUCGACGAUCACGAGAGGUGCUCUGGUGAGAGAGCGGUACUAAUAUUCUACAGGUAGAUCAUUGCUUAAAUAAGCAAAUGAAUAAACAUGCUUGGAUUAGCAUGUCAACCAACUGACAAUUUAAUUGCCAACUUGCUAGUCUCCAGUGAGCUCUGAGCUGCAGUCAUACACACAUAACGUCAAACGUCCUGCACACGUCGUAUCAGAUUAAUGUAUUUUUGAGAACGUACCAUGCGUUUUAGAACCGAUUUCUUUGACCUAGAGUACAGAAGCUUUUAUUCCAGAAACAUGGACUUCACUCGAUCUAGCUGUAUCCAUACGCACAGUUGGUUCGCUUACCCCUGUGUCAACAGGAACUGCUGCUACCAAGGUCGGAUUUGGGUUGGAUUCCAUAGUCGUGAUAACGGCGGUUGAGCUGGCUUUCUUGCGUUUAGGCGACUCAGUUAAUAAUCUUUGACUCUGCUGGUAAAUCCUGCACAUUUGACGUGCAUCAUCGAACCGCAGAGCCAGCUAAAAAUAAAGGGGUCUUUCGUUGAAAACGCAAGUGUACAGUUUUUCUUGGAACAGACAUAGGUCAUUAUAAGAAAACAAAAAUAAAAAUUAAAUGAAAUAAAAGUAUCAAUAAUAUCGCAAAGUAAAUUUGGGAAUAGGAUGAAAUUCAAAAAACACAAAGGCACAAAACACAAAAAAAAAAAAAAAAAAAUAAU